rnacentral:rRNA from 1 species
AUACGUAGGGGGCGAGCGUUGUUCGGAAUCAUUGGGCGUAAAGGGCGUGCAGGCGGUCCUGCAAGUCCGGCGUGAAAGACCCCGGCCCAACCGGGGGGACGCGCUGGAAACUGCGGGGCUUGAGUACAGGAGGGGAUGCCGGAAUUCCAGGUGUAGGGGUGAAAUCUGUAGAUAUCUGGAAGAACACCAAUGGCGAAGGCAGGCAUCUGGCCAUGUACUGACGCUGAGACGCGAAGGUGCGGGGAGCAAACAGGUUUAGAUACCCUGGUAGUCCGCACAGUAAACGAUGUGCACCAGGUGGCGGGGGGUCGACCCUCGGUACCGUAGCUAACGCAUUAAGUGCACCGCCUGGGGAGUAUGCUCGCAAGGGUGAAACUCAAAGGAAUUGACGGGG